rnacentral:lncRNA from 1 species
UUUUAUUUUGCUACACCAAUUUUAUGAUGCUAGUCCAGUGAUAUAUUGAGGUCAUUAAUCCCAGCCUGAUCGCGGGCUAAGCGAACACUUCGCAGAAUUUCGCAAAUUUCAUUUCAAGGAAUCAUAGCACAGAAUAGAUUAUAAUAGUUUUUAUGCGAUCAAUUCGUUGGAAAGAAAACACAAAUAUGUUGUCUAAAUUGUGAAGUAAGAAAGAUUUAAUUGAAAUGGAAAGUGCUUCAUCAGAAAGUGUUCCUGUUGAUGAAAUCAACGAACUACUCACAUGUUGCAUGUGUUUGGAAACUCUACAAGAACCACGAAGCUUGGCUUGCUUUCAUAAUUUUUGUAAAGUAUGUUUAGGUGAGUAUAUUUUCUUUGUUUGCAUGAUCAAUUUGGCAAAUGCAUGUAUUGGUACCACUGACUAGGAAUAUAUCCUUAUUCUGUCAUGGAUAUAAUAAUGGUUAUAUUGACGACCUUGUUUAAAGGGGAAGUCAAGUCCGUUCUGCGCAUCGGUUCUGCGCAUAACAAUAGAGGGCCCUCUGAGGUAAACAUU